CGUGAGUGACGAAGGCUUUCGGGUCGUAAAGCUCUGUCAAGUGGGAAGAACCUGCAGUAUGCUAAUAUCAUAUUGCACUGACGGUACCACUGAAGGAAGCACCGGCUAACUCCGUGCCAGCAGCCGCGGUAAUACGGGGGGUGCAAGCGUUAUUCGGAAUCAUUGGGCGUAAAGAGCACGUAGGCGGCUUGGUAAGUCAGAUGUGAAAGCCCGGGGCUUAACCCCGGAAGUGCAUUUGAUACUGCCAGGCUUGAGUAUGGGAGAGGGAAGUGGAAUUCCUGGUGUAGAGGUGAAAUUCGUAGAUAUCAGGAGGAACACCGGUGGCGAAGGCGACUUCCUGGACCAAUACUGACGCUGAGGUGCGAAGGCGUGGGUAGCAAACAGGAUUAGAUACCCUGGUAGUCCACGCAGUAAACGUUGUUCACUAGGUGUAGCGGGUAUUGACCCCUGCUGUGCCGCAGUUAACGCAUUAA
rnacentral:rRNA from 1 species